rnacentral:rRNA from 1 species
AUGAACGCUAGCUACAGGCUUAACACAUGCAAGUCGAGGGGCAGCAUGGUCUUAGCUUGCUAAGGCCGAUGGCGACCGGCGCACGGGUGAGUAGCACGUAUCCAACCUGCCGUCUACUCUUGGACAGCCUUCUGAAAGGAAGAUUAAUACAAGAUGGCAUCAUGAGUCCGCAUGUUCACAUGAUUAAAGGUAUUCCGGUAGACGAUGGGGAUGCGUUCCAUUAGAUAGUAGGCGGGGUAACGGCCCACCUAGUCUUCGAUGGAUAGGGGUUCUGAGAGGAAGGUCCCCCACAUUGGAACUGAGACACGGUCCAAACUCCUACGGGAGGCAGCAGUGAGGAAUAUUGGUCAAUGGGCGAGAGCCUGAACCAGCCAAGUAGCGUGAAGGAUGACUGCCCUAUGGGUUGUAAACUUCUUUUAUAAAGGAAUAAAGUCGGGUAUGGAUACCCGUUUGCAUGUACUUUAUGAAUAAGGAUCGGCUAACUCCGUGCCAGCAGCCGCGGUAAUACGGAGGAUCCGAGCGUUAUCCGGAUUUAUUGGGUUUAAAGGGAGCGUAGAUGGAUGUUUAAGUCAGUUGUGAAAGUUUGCGGCUCAACCGUAAAAUUGCAGUUGAUACUGGAUAUCUUGAGUGCAGUUGAGGCAGGCGGAAUUCGUGGUGUAGCGGUGAAAUGCUUAGAUAACACGAAGAACUCCGAUUGCGAAGGCAGCCUGCUAAGCUGCAACUGACAUUGAGGCUCGAAAGUGUGGGUAUCAAACAGGAUUAGAUACCCUGGUAGUCCACACGGUAAACGAUGAAUACUCGCUGUUUGCGAUAUACUGCAAGCGGCCAAGCGAAAGCGUUAAGUAUUCCACCUGGGGAGUACGCCGGCAACGGUGAAACUCAAAGGAAUUGACGGGGGCCCGCACAAGCGGAGGAACAUGUGGUUUAAUUCGAUGAUACGCGAGGAACCUUACCCGGGCUUAAAUUGCAGAUGAAUUACGGUGAAAGCCGUAAGCCGCAAGGCAUCUGUGAAGGUGCUGCAUGGUUGUCGUCAGCUCGUGCCGUGAGGUGUCGGCUUAAGUGCCAUAACGAGCGCAACCCUUAUCGAUAGUUACCAUCAGGUUAUGCUGGGGACUCUGUCGAGACUGCCGUCGUAAGAUGUGAGGAAGGUGGGGAUGACGUCAAAUCAGCACGGCCCUUACGUCCGGGGCUACACACGUGUUACAAUGGGGGGUACAGAAGGCAGCUACACGGCGACGUGAUGCUAAUCCCUAAAGCCUCUCUCAGUUCGGAUUGGAGUCUGCAACCCGACUCCAUGAAGCUGGAUUCGCUAGUAAUCGCGCAUCAGCCACGGCGCGGUGAAUACGUUCCCGGGCCUUGUACACACCGCCCGUCAAGCCAUGGGAGCCGGGGGUACCUGAAGUGCGUAACCGCGAGGAGCGCCCUAGGGUAAAACUGGUGACUGGGGCU